rnacentral:rRNA from 1 species
GCCCUUAGAGUUUGAUCCUGGCUCAGAAUGAACGCUGGCGGCGUGCCUAACACAUGCAAGUCGAGCGAGAAAGCCCCUUCGGGGGUGAGUAAAGCGGCGGACGGGUGAGUAACGCGUGGAUAAUCUACCUUUGGGUUCGGGAUAACCCGUCGAAAGAUGGGCCAAUACCGGAUACGCUUUAUCUUGCUUAUGCAGGAUAGGGGAAAGAUGGCCUCUGAUUCAAGCUAUUGCCCAGAGAUGAGUCCGCGUCCCAUUAGCUAGUUGGUGGGGUAAUAGCCUACCAAGGCGACGAUGGGUAGCUGGUCUGAGAGGAUGGUCAGCCACACUGGGACUGGAACACGGCCCAGACUCCUACGGGAGGCAGCAGUGGGAAAUCUUGGGCAAUGGGGGAAACCCUGACCCAGCAACGCCGCGUGAGGGAAGAAGGCCUUCGGGU